AACUUUUAACAACGGAUCUCUUGGCUCUCGCAACGAUGAAGAACGCAGCGAAAUGCGAUAAGUAGUGUGAAUUUCAGAAUUCAGUGAAUCAUCGAAUCUUUGAACGCACAUUGCGCUUCCUGGUAUUCCGGGGAGCAUGCUCGUUUGAGAAUCAUUAAACUCUCAAAAACCAGAUGGGUCUCGGACCGUUAGGGGCUUGGAUGUGGGCGGCACACUUUUCCUCUGGCACGGCCGCUUCAAUAUGAUUGUGUGUAUCUCGGUGAACCAUCUCGGGAGCAUAAGAGCAACAGAUUUCUAUUUCUCUUGUGCCCCGCGUCUGGUUUGUUUGGACUCCCACUCCAUCCAUCAGACAGGAUGCGCAUCGUUUCGAUGUGUAUUCUGAUUACUUGGUCUGAAAUCGAGCAAGAAAACCCGCUGAACUUAAGCAUAUCAAUAAGCGGAGGCU
rnacentral:misc_RNA from 1 species